AGAGUUUGAUCCUGGCUCAGGACGAACGCUGGCGGCGUGCUUAACACAUGCAAGUCGAACGGUGAAGCCCUUCGGGGUGGAUCAGUGGCGAACGGGUGAGUAACACGUGAGCAACCUGCCCCUGGCUCUGGGACAACCACUGGAAACGGUGGCUAAUACCGGAUACGACUCGCCCCGGCAUCGGGUGCGGGUGGAAAGAUUUCAUCGGCUGGGGAUGGGCUCGCGGCCUAUCAGCUUGUUGGUGGGGUGAUGGCCCACCAAGGCGACGACGGGUAGCCGGCCUGAGAGGGCGACCGGCCACACUGGGACUGAGACACGGCCCAGACUCCUACGGGAGGCAGCAGUGGGGAAUAUUGCACAAUGGGCGCAAGCCUGAUGCAGCGACGCCGCGUGAGGGAUGACGGCCUUCGGGUUGUAAACCUCUUUCAGCUUUGACGAAGCCCCUCGGGGUGACGGUAGGAGCAGAAGAAGCACCGGCUAACUACGUGCCAGCAGCCGCGGUAAUACGUAGGGUGCAAGCGUUGUCCGGAAUUAUUGGGCGUAAAGAGCUCGUAGGCGGUGUGUCGCGUCUGCUGUGAAAACUCAGGGCUCAACUCUGAGCUUGCAGUGGGUACGGGCACACUUGAGUGCGGUAGGGGAGACUGGAAUUCCUGGUGUAGCGGUGAAAUGCGCAGAUAUCAGGAGGAACACCGGUGGCGAAGGCGGGUCUCUGGGCCGUAACUGACGCUGAGGAGCGAAAGCAUGGGGAGCGAACAGGGUUAGAUACCCUGGUAGUCCAUGCCGUAAACGUUGGGCGCUAGGUGUGGGACCCAUUCCACGGGUUCCGUGCCGCAGCUAACGCAUUAAGCGCCCCGCCUGGGGAGUACGGCCGCAAGGCUAAAACUCAAAGGAAUUGACGGGGGCCCGCACAAGCGGCGGAGCAUGCGGAUUAAUUCGAUGCAACGCGAAGAACCUUACCAAGGCUUGACAUGCGCGGUGGCGCCUCAGAGAUGGGGCUUCAUUUAGGUGGUCGCGCACAGGUGGUGCAUGGUUGUCGUCAGCUCGUGUCGUGAGAUGUUGGGUUAAGUCCCGCAACGAGCGCAACCCUCGUUCCAUGUUGCCAGCAGUUCGGCUGGGGACUCAUGGGAGACUGCCGGGGUCAACUCGGAGGAAGGUGGGGAUGACGUCAAAUCAUCAUGCCCCUUAUGUCUUGGGCUUCACGCACGCUACAAUGACCAGUACAGAGGGCUGCGAUACCGUGAGGUGGAGCGAAUCCCAAAAAGCUGGUCUCAGUUCGGAUCGGGGUCUGCAACUCGACCCCGUGAAGUCGGAGUCGCUAGUAAUCGCAGAUCAGCAACGCUGCGGUGAAUACGUUCCCGGGCCUUGUACACACCGCCCGUCACGUCAUGAAAGUCGGUAACACCCGAAGCCGGUGGCCCAACCCCUUGUGGGAGGGAGUCGUCGAAGGUGGGACUGGCGAUUGGGACGAAGUCGUAACAAGGUAGCCGUA
rnacentral:rRNA from 1 species